CAUAAAUAUCUUGUAUAUUUAUAAUAUUGGCAGUGUAGUUCUUGCUGGCUCUGGGUGACGAGAGAUCUCGAAAUCAAGAGAUUGAACCAAAAAAACAACUCUUUUUAUAAGAGUUGUUUUUUUA
rnacentral:sRNA from 20 species